rnacentral:rRNA from 1 species
CAGCCGCCGCGGUAAUACGAAGGGGGCUAGCGUUGCUCGGAAUUACUGGGCGUAAAGGGCGCGUAGGCGGACAGUUCAGUCGGGGGUGAAAGCCCGGGGCUCAACCUCGGAAUUGCCUUCGAUACUGGCUGUCUUGAGUAUGAGAGAGGUGUGUGGAACUCCGAGUGUAGAGGUGAAAUUCGUAGAUAUUCGGAAGAACACCAGUGGCGAAGGCGACACACUGGCUCAUUACUGACGCUGAGGCGCGAAAGCGUGGGGAGCAAACAGGAUUAGAUACCCGCGUAGUCCCUGUCUCUUAUAC